rnacentral:rRNA from 1 species
GUGGGGAAUAUUGGACAAUGGGCGAAAGCCUGAUCCAGCCAUGCCGCGUGUGUGAAGAAGGUCUUCGGAUUGUAAAGCACUUUAAGUUGGGAGGAAGGGCAGUAAGUUAAUACCUUGCUGUUUUGACGUUACUAACAGAAUAAGCACCGGCUAACUUCGUGCCAGCAGCCGCGGUAAUACGAAGGGUGCAAGCGUUAAUCGGAAUUACUGGGCGUAAAGCGCGCGUAGGUGGUUCAGCAAGUUGAAGGUGAAAUCCCCGGGCUCAACCUGGGAACUGCCUCCAAAACUACUGAGCUAGAGUACGGUAGAGGGUAGUGGAAUUUCCUGUGUAGCGGUGAAAUGCGUAGAUAUAGGAAGGAACACCAGUGGCGAAGGCGACUACCUGGACUGAUACUGACACUGAGGUGCGAAAGCGUGGGGAGCAAACAGGAUUAGAUACCCGGGUAGUCC